GAUGAAGAACGUAGCGAAAUGCGAUACUUGGUGUGAAUUGCAGAAUCCCGUGAACCAUCGAGUCUUUGAACGCAAGUUGCGCCCGAAGCCACUAGGCCGAGGGCACGCCUGCCUGGGCGUCACACGCCGUUGCCCCCCCAUCUACUCCUUCGGGAUUGCGGGGGGCGGAUGAUGGCCUCCCGUGCGCCUAGCCGCGCGGUUGGCAUAAAUACCAAGUCCUCGGCGACGCACGCCACGACAAUCGGUGGUUGCGAAACCUCGGUUGCCCGUCGUGUGCGUUCGUCGCGCAUCGAGGGCUCGAAAAAAUGAUCGGCUCCGGCUGGGCUUUCAACGCGACCCCAGGUCAGGCGGGGUUACCCGCUGAAUUUAAGCAUAUCAAUAAGCGGAGGA
rnacentral:misc_RNA from 1 species